rnacentral:lncRNA from 1 species
GCUUUAAUUUUAUUGUCCUUAGAGAGGGACACAAUGCUUAUUUUAGCAUGAGCUUGUAUUUUAUAACUUUAUCCUAGUUUCUGACAUGACAAAUUAUUUAUUUAGCAUGGAACGUGGGCUGUGACUUAUAUAUGACUAGCUUUCAUGUACUCUGAUAUGUGACUUUUCUUAAUAAGUUAUCGUAUUUGGGAAGAACCGUGAAUUUUU